rnacentral:tRNA from 1 species
GUAGCUCAGAGGUAGAGCAAUGCUUUCGUAAAGCAGAGGUCGUGAGUUCAAAUCUCAUC